AGAGCGAACGCUGGCGGCAGGCCUAACACAUGCAAGUCGAACGAACUCUUCGGAGUUAGUGGCGGACGGGUGAGUAACACGUGGGAACGUGCCUUUUGGUUCGGAAUAACUCAGGGAAACUUGUGCUAAUACCGAAUGUGCCCUUCGGGGGAAAGAUUUAUCGCCAUUAGAGCGGCCCGCGUCUGAUUAGCUAGUUGGUGAGGUAAAAGCUCACCAAGGCGACGAUCAGUAGCUGGUCUGAGAGGAUGACCAGCCACACUGGGACUGAGACACGGCCCAGACUCCUACGGGAGGCAGCAGUGGGGAAUCUUGCGCAAUGGGCGAAAGCCUGACGCAGCCAUGCCGCGUGAAUGAUGAAGGUCUUAGGAUUGUAAAAUUCUUUCACCGGGGACGAUAAUGACGGUACCCGGAGAAGAAGCCCCGGCUAACUUCGUGCCAGCAGCCGCGGUAAUACGAAGGGGGCUAGCGUUGCUCGGAAUUACUGGGCGUAAAGGGCGCGUAGGCGGAUCGUUAAGUCAGAGGUGAAAUCCCAGGGCUCAACCCUGGAACUGCCUUUGAUACUGGCGAUCUUGAGUAUGAGAGAGGUAUGUGGAACUCCGAGUGUAGAGGUGAAAUUCGUAGAUAUUCGGAAGAACACCAGU
rnacentral:rRNA from 1 species